ensembl:lncRNA
UUUUUUUUUUUUUUUGAGACGGAGUCUUGCUCUGUGCCCCAGGCUGGAGUGCAGUGGCGUGAUCUCGGCUCACUGCAAACUCCGCCCCCUGGGUUCACGCCAUUCUCCUGCCUCCUGAGUAGCUGGGACUACAGGUGCCCACCACCACGCCCGGCUAGUUUUUUGUAUCUUUUAGUAGAGAUGGGGUUUCACGGUGUUAGCCAGGAUGGUCUCCAUCUCCUGACCUCGUGAUCUGCCUGCCUCGGCUUCCCAAAGUGCUGGGAUUACAGGCUUGAGCCACCGUGCCCGGCCGAUGUACGGUAUAAUUUUAUACCACGAGUCUUUUGGGGAAUUAGCUUUUGAUAUCUAAAAGUCAAGUUUUGGGAUUUCAAAAUGCUUUUCUCUUGCAAAGUCUAUUUUAGAACCCAAAAUCAAAGGGCUGACUUGAUACCCAUAUUUUGUUGUAACAAACCUACUCUGAGGUAAUGACUUAGGCCUAGGUCAAAUGGAGACUGGUCAAGGGAUACAAUGAAUUCUGCGAGAUAGUGGUGUCCAGGGGGAGAACAUGUUGGGUUAUAUUAUCCCACUCUGUAUAACAAUGUGGUGUUUAUGAAUCUGGGAAUUUAAAUAUGUCCUAGAGUUUUGCUUGCCAAUGUCAAAGUUUUCCUCUAUGGAGAGGUAACAGAUUUUCCCUUGCCAAGGUUCUACAAGAUGACAUUUCAUGUACCUGAAACUUGAGGCAGCUGGGUCACCCUAAACAAUUCAAAUGCAGCUGGGGGUAGAAGGUGGCAAGCAAAGUCUCCAAGUCACUAAAAGAGGUUUCAUGGACGCUGUGCAACAGAGUUGACUCAUGGGUAAGCCCCUUAAACCUUCAAACAAAGCCUAUUGAUUUACAUAAAUUUCUGGGCUACAAUGGGGUUGGUAAAUGAUGGAAGGAUCUGGUUGUGUAUUGCAAAGAUUAAGAAAAGCUCCUGAUAGCAUGAUAGCAGUGGGGGAGUCAGAACUACAAUAAAAAUCAGGUAUAAACAUUUUAAAAAUUAAUGCUGUCAAAGGACAUUAGUAUAAAUAUAAUGACUUAAAUUUCUAAUUUGUUCUUGUACCUAGUACUAUAAUUAAUCAUAGUGUUUUAAAUCUCAGUAGGAAUUUAAAGGAAUCUAAUCCAAUUAUAAAAUAUGUGAUUCAUAAUUUAACAAUAUGACAUAAUAAUAAUAGUAUGACAUGAUUUUAUGCCCUGAGUCUUUUGGAAUAUUAGCUUUUGUAACUAAAAGCCACACUUUGGAUCUCAACUCUCCCAUUGUUUUUGCACAGACUGUAAUGGCCUGAAUUGUGUACAUCCCACAUCAUGCUUUCCUCACCCCCUACCGUACCUCAGAGCAUGACUGUAUUUGGAGAUGGGUGCUGUAAAGAGGUGAUUAAGUUAAAACAAGGCCAUUAGGGUCUGAUCCAAUUUUACUUGUGUCCUAUUUGUAAGAAGAAAUUUGGACACAUCAAAAGACACCAGGAAUGUGUGUCCAUAGAGAACAGGCUAUGUGAGGACACAGUGAGAAGGCAGCUGCCUGCAAGCCGAGGACAGAGGCCUCAGAAGAAACCAAAUCUGCCAACACCUUCGUCUUGGACUUCCAGCCUCCAGAACUUUGAGAAAGUAAAUUUCUGUUGUUUAAGUCACAGAGUCUGUGAUACUUGGUUAAGGUUGUCCUAGCACGCAAAUACAAAGACUACACGGAAGCCCAAAUGCUAAGAAACGGCUUCUUUGUUAUGUGCAUUCUGCAGUAAAAACCUAUUUGAGGCUUGUAAUUUAGUCCCAGAGCAGACCUGUGGCUUUUCCAAGGUCUCUAGGAAGACAAAGAAUUGAACCCAGUGC